CCGGGGGGCGGCCGCCGCGCUCCCCACCCGCUGCCGGGCCCGCUCCUUUUGUCUGCCGCCGGCCUCGGCUCCGCUGCCGCUUGGAACCCGGCCACUUUCUGGGUUGUUUCCCCCCUCCCCCCCCGCUCCGUGUUGCCUUUUCCGCGUUAAGGGCAUGGCGUCACACCUGGCAGAAGACUUUGCUGACCAGUGGUACAGACAGACCACUUUCAUUUCACUAAUGGUGGAAGCACUGGUGUUUUAGGAAAUGUGAAGACUUUUUUCUUUCAAAGAUGCCUGCUCAGAUGUUAUGUUCUCAACAGCCAUUCUCAGUUUCCCAGACAUUCCUGCCAUGAAAGCUGAAUGAGCAAGAUCCCCUGCUAUUUGCAAGAUGUGGGCGUGCCCUCUGCAAAAUCCAGGUCGUUGUCCUUCCAAACCCUUUCCAGAGAUGAACUCCACUCACCAUCUGGCCCUUCAUCCUGUCUGGAAGCCCAACUCAUUUGCAGGAUGCUGUGCUGUUAACUUGGAAAGCAGGUUGGGAAUGGCAGGUACCAAGCAGCAUUUUGAGCUCGCAUAAACAGGUUUUUUACUGCUGGUAGUCUAGCACGAGUCCUGAAGCAGAUCAUUCGUGGCCUGGCCUGUUGCAGAGGGGAGGUGCCUGGUCCAAAAGCAAGCUCGAGAGCAGCGAGAUCUCUCAAGGGCAUAGUUUGCUGGGGACACUGCUCUCCGGGCCACCAGCCUGCAGACAGCCCUGGGAAGCUCAAGGGGGACCAGGUUAUGGAAAGGCCCUUUUUAGGUACUGGAAGGCUGUUCUAAGGUCCUAGCUGUUCUAACUGUCCCAGUGUGUCGCCAUAGGAGAAGUGCUCCAGCCCUCUGAUCAUCUUUGUGGGCCUCCUCUGGACUCACUCCAACAAGUCCACGUCCUUAUUUUGGGAGCCCCAGAGCUGGAUGCAGCUCUCCAGGUGGGGUCUCAUGGAAUAGAGUGGAAUAGAGCAGCAGAAUCCCAUCCUUUGACCUGCUGCCCAUGCUGCUCUUGAUGUAGCCCAGGAUGCUGCUGGCUUUUGGGCUGCAAGAGCACAUGGUCAGGUCAUGCUGAGCUUCUCAUCUACCAAUGCCCUCAAGUCCUUCUCCCCAGGGCUGCUCUCAAUACAUUCUCUGCCCAGUCUGAAUGUGUGCUUGGGAUUGCCCUGACACACAUGCAGGACCUGGCGCUUGGCCUUGUUGAACUUCAGGAGGUUCACACAGUCCCACCUCUCCAGCCUGUCGAGGUCCCUGUGAGUGGCAUCUGACAUCAUAAGGUAUGGAAUAUCCCUUUGGUUAAUUUGGGUCGGUGGCCUGGUUUUGUCCCCUCCCAGGACAGCGCUGAUGCUGUGCCAGUGCUGCUCAGCAGUAGCCAAAACACUGGUGUGUUACCAACACUUUCUAGCCAAAUUCCUUUUUCUCCUUUUCAGAAGUGAGCAUUUUGUUUCCCCUUUUUCAGUCACCAGGAACUUUGCCAAACUGCCACUUCUCAAAUAUGACAGAUAGUGACUUUGCUCAAUGGCAGCUCUAAUCCUGGCAGUCAAGACAAGCAGAUACAGUUGUAGAGGAUGCAGACCUUGAGACACUUGUCUGGCUUCAUGGAGGCCUGGCACAUCUUGAGGAGUCCCAGGAGUUUUUUCUCUUAUACAUUUUCCUGCGGCAGGUUCCCUCUCCGUGAGCGGUUGGCAAAGUAAUACAGUGCUGUGGGAUCUGGCUGUUCCUUCUCUUGCACCCCAAGCUGGAUUCCCUCUUCUUAUCUGCCUCUCCCUCAGGGCUUGCUCCCUCCAUUCCCUUUGAUGGGGUGUUGAGAUAUCCUGCAAUGACGCAGCAUGAUGAGAUAAUCUUUCCUCCCUCCUCACCCCUCAGCUUCUUGUUUGUAUUCUUUGAUUAAUUUAUCUUCUCGCCUACAGCUUUAAAUUUGCUUUUAGGGUAGUAACUUUCUGAAGACGCAGCACUAAAAUUUUAUUUUUUUCUUAACCUAGAAAAACAAUCACCUUGUAAUCUCUCUGCUAGAAUCAUAGCAUUAAUUUUGCUGCGAGCAUUGAAUGUGGACCAAACAUUGCCCAGCCAGUGGUGAAGCUGCAGAGGGAGUGGUUCAAUGAGCUCCCUUGGGGAAGUCCAUCACAUUCAUUUUACAGCAGUUUAACCAUAAUAGGGCUACCAAGCCCACAAUCAGGUGGGGAGUUAAUUGUACCUGGAUCCAGCAGCGCACCACAAGCACGUUUAUACAAUGCAGAACAAUUGGUGCUGUGACUCAUUGCUGGGAGCUCAGCCUAUGUUAUACGUGGGGCAGCAUCUAGGGAUACAUAUGUGCCAUCCACAACAGCACUCAGUACACAUCGCAUUAGUCUUCAGCAUCCCACAGAUCCAAAGAGAAAACAAUUGCCAUGUCCCCUAACAGAGCAGAAGAGGUGGAAGACCACAGGUAACACUAGCCAAAAGGCUUUCUCUAAUGAUUUGCAGUACACUCACUGACACAGCUAUUGCUUAAUGAGACAGAUCAUGAGUUUUGCACAGAGGCUGGAAGGACCUGUUUCCUGAGGUCGUGGUUGUUACUAAAUACUCUGAUUACAUGUGGUCGUAAUGUCCUUUGGUGGAUGGUGGAGGCCAGGAGAAAGUCAAGUUUAUUCCUGUGCUAUGACCAGGUUGAAAAAUCAUCAGGUUAUUCUGUGGCCUUAAAAGUUGCCCUUAGCAGUGGCUCUGAAACUUGUUUUAGGAGCUAUUGCUAAAACAAGUGUGUAGGGCACUGAGCUCCAGGUGCCUGGUUCUGUUUCAAGUAGGAUGAAUUUUAGACUUUAGGACAGGACAAUCAGGCACAAAGAGAUGAAUUUGUACUUCAUUCUCAAUUAAACUUUAAUUCCAAAAAGGUGCAAUUAAAGACACACCCUGAUGCUGUGCAAGAUAGUAGAUAUCUCACUGCCCCCCAGUGAGCGUGCAUGUGAAGGCAUUUCAAAAUUACAUGGACCAAAUUCUUCUAGUGUGAACCAUGAGACACAUUCUCAAACAUAGUCAUGACCACGUGGAUCUGAAACAAAUGUUUUCCUAACAGUAAAAGCAGAAGAGGAGCUGGAUGAAAGACUUGAAAGUUAAAUCCUGGCAGCAUGGAAAUCAGAGGCAAAAUUCCCAGUGAACUGAGGUCAGGGUUUCAGUCUGAAGCCAAGUAAUCCAGAUUUUGUACUUCUCAAAGUAAAAGUGAGUCAGCUGGUCAUCGUUGGUAUUCAAAGAGAAAAUAGAAACCAGGUGAAAUCAUUUAAGCUGGCAGUGGCCAAAUGGUUGUGAGUUUGCUCUGGAAGGAAAGAAAUGUAUCUGGAGGUGUUAUGUUUACGGAAUCUCAUUGCUUUCUAAAUCAAAUGCACUUGCUUUGCAGAUGGAAGAAUGGUGCUCUUUUUUUUUCUUUCUUUCUUUUUUUCUUUUUUAACCACGAGGCUGCAAAUUUAAUCUAGAGUCUUUUCUUUUCAUGCACCACAGCCAUUAAGCAAGAUUUGCCUCUGACCUGCCCCAGCAAUCCUGCAGCUUCUGAGGGCACCUCCAGUGGAUUUGUGGUGGUUGUUGCUUCACCUGCACAGAGAUGGCUGAAUUUGGCAGCUUGAUUGAUGAGGCUCAGAAGGAACAUAACCCACUACUCCCCUGGCUGUACUG